GGCUCUGUAGCCAAGUGGUAAGGUCAACGACUGCAACUCGUUUAUCAGCGGUUCAAAUCCGCUCGGAGCCUCCA
rnacentral:tRNA from 1 species